rnacentral:rRNA from 1 species
CCUACGGGAGGCAGCAGUGGGGGAUAUUGCACAAUGGGGGAAACCCUGAUGCAGCGACGCCGCGUGGGCGAAGAAGUAUUUCGGGAUGUAAAGCCCUAUCAGCAGGGAAGAAGAAAUGACGGUACCUGAGUAAGAAGCACCGGCUAAAUACGUGCCAGCAGCCGCGGUAAUACGUAUGGUGCAAGCGUUAUCCGGAUUUACUGGGUGUAAAGGGAGCGCAGGCGGCACGGCAAGCCUGAUGUGAAAGCUCGCGGCCCAACCGCGGGACUGCAUUUGGAACUACCGGGCUGGAGUGCCGGAGAGGUAGGCGGAAUUCCUGGUGUAGCGGUGAAAUGCGUAGAUAUUAGGAGGAACACCAGUGGCGAAGGCGGCCUACUGGACGGUGACUGACGCUGAGGCUCGAAAGCGUGGGGAGCAAACAGGAUUAGAUACCCCUGUAGUC